AGCUGGAAUCGCUAGUAAUCGUAGAUCAGCAUGCUACGGUGAAUACGUUCCCGGGUCUUGUACACACCGCCCGUCACACCACGAGAGUUUGUAACACCCGAAGCCGGUGGAGUAACCUUUUAGGAGCUAGCCGUCGAAGGUGGGACAAAUGAUUGGGGUGAAGUCGUAACAAGGUAGCCGUAUCGGAAGGUGCGGCUGGAUCACCUCCUUUCUAAGGAGA
rnacentral:rRNA from 1 species